rnacentral:lncRNA from 1 species
UGUGUAAUUGGGUUAAAAAGCUUUAGAUCAAAGUUUCAUAGUAUUUGAAUAAUUACUUUGUGAGAUAUGAAGGAAGUUGUACACGGGUGUAAAAAAUCUAGGGUUUGAAGCUAUAGUUAGGGUUUUCAAGAUAUCACAAGAUCCAAGACGAAUUUACGGUUGAAUUUUGGUGUGGUAGUUGCUAAAGAUACAUCAGUACUCCAUGUAAAAUUUGGAGUUGUUUCGACGGUUAGAUCGUAAGUUAUGAGCUGUUGAA